GCGCAAGCAUCUAGAAUGGUCUAGGAUCGGGCCUUCGGGAGGCUCAGACAGGAGUUCAAAUCUCCUCAGACCCA
rnacentral:tRNA from 2 species